AGUGAAGAACUGCUGCACGGUUGACGCAGGUUCAAAUCCCGCCAUA
rnacentral:tRNA from 1 species